GCGGGAGUAACUCAGUGGUAGAGUGUCAGCUUCCCAAGCUGAAGGUCGCGAGUUCGAAUCUCGUUUCCCGCUCCA
rnacentral:tRNA from 1 species